AGUGAACGCUGGCGGUAGGCCUAACACAUGCAAGUCGAACGGCAGCACAGUAAGAGCUUGCUCUUACGGGUGGCGAGUGGCGGACGGGUGAGGAAUACAUCGGAAUCUACUUUUUCGUGGGGGAUAACGUAGGGAAACUUACGCUAAUACCGCAUACGACCUACGGGUGAAAGCAGGGGAUCUUCUGACCUUGCGCGAUUGAAUGAGCCGAUGUCGGAUUAGCUAGUUGGCGGGGUAAAGGCCCACCAAGGCGACGAUCCGUAGCUGGUCUGAGAGGAUGAUCAGCCACACUGGAACUGAGACACGGUCCAGACUCCUACGGGAGGCAGCAGUGGGGAAUAUUGGACAAUGGGCGCAAGCCUGAUCCAGCCAUACCGCGUGGGUGAAGGAGGCCUUCGGGUUGUAAAGCCCUUUUGUUGGGAAAAAAAAGCAGCAGGUUAAUACCCCGCUGUUCUGACGGUACCCAAAGAAUAAGCACCGGCUAACUUCGUG
rnacentral:rRNA from 1 species